UUUAUGUUAGCCGCUGGUUUUUUCUUUUCCUGAUGCUUGCACGGUUUGAUUACUGAAAGAGAAGUCUGAAAUUUGAGUGUGGAAACGCAAAAUGAAGAGAUCACCUACUUUUUGAAACUUGUUUGUCCAAUGAUAAAUGCUCACUUUCAGUUAAGGUGUAUAUAUAAAAAAGGACAAUGGUUGAGCUGAUGAUGCUGACGCUUUUCCUAGUCCUAUCCUCGUCAAAAGCACAUUUCUUCUUGGAUUUUAGCAAAGGGCCAAGACCUUUUGCCGUCAUAC
rnacentral:lncRNA from 1 species